UACAGAGGUCUCAAGCGUUGUUCGGAUUCAUUGGGCGUAAAGGGUGCGUAGGUGGCGCUGUAAGUCAGGUGUGAAAUUUCGGAGCUUAACUCCGAAACUGCAUUUGAUACUGCGGUGCUUGAGGACUGGAGAGGAGACUGGAAUUCACGGUGUAGCGGUGAAAUGCGUAGAUAUCCGGAGGAACACCGGUGGCGAAGGCGGCUUCCUGGACCGAUACUGACGCUGAGGCGCGAAAGCUAGGGGAGCAAACGGG
rnacentral:rRNA from 1 species